AGGAACAGCAUCCAGCUGUGGCAAAAGAGAACAUUAACUGUAACUUGAAGACUGAAUCCAAGGUUCUCUAAUGUAAAUCAAUGGCAUUGAAGUCCACAAUUAAUGGCCUCCCUGUAUUCAUCCCCUUUGCAAAGUGACCUUGCAGAUUCUUCCAUCAAGAGCUCAGGGACUAUAAAUUCCUAAUCCUGGUGUCCCAAUCCCUAAACCAGAAUUGGAUUACAGACGAAUAUGUUGCAUAAAUGAAUGUGAGUUGACAAUUUUCUUUG